GAGAUGAAAUUUUCUUUUACAAUGUUGUUUUUCUCUAUAUUCUGGUGGAAUGCUUUCUUUACUCUCUUAUGUCAACGGUUAAUGUAGAUUGAACAUGAUGCCUUUGAUAGUGUGGUCUCUUUUCUGCAACUGACUGUUUAUCUUAUGUCAAGCCUCUAGUUUAUCUAUUGAAGUUGCAACACAUCUUCAACAGUGUCUGUCUAAGCAAAAAGGUGGAAAGAAUCAGUUGUGUGAGCUUUGUUUAAGGUCUUUAAUUGAUGGGCUUAGAUAUCUUUUUUCUUCUUUUCAUCAUGGUUGUAUACAUGUGUAGAACAUUUUAAAUAUCUUUGGACAUAACUGUCAAUAACUUCAAGUUCUU
rnacentral:lncRNA from 1 species